CUCUUUCUCAGACCUGUGCCCUCAGUAGGGAGAUGAUGCCUGGGGCUGCUCCCCUGGACUCUGCCCCAGGCCCCAGGCUCCUCUGUGGUGUUGUCCUGUGUCUCCUGGGAGCCUGUGUGGUGCAUGCUGGGGUCCUCCAGACCCCCAGACACCUGAUCAAAGCCAAGGGAGGAAAGGCCACUCUGCAGUGCUCUCCUGACUCUGGACAUGAUACUGUGUACUGGUACCAGCAGGCCGAGGACAAGAGCCUCCAGCUCCUCGUUUCCUAUUUUGGAGAGUCAGAGCUAGAGAAAGGAAGCAUCCCUGGCCGCUUCUCAGCUCGGCAGUUCAGUGACUAUCACUCUGAGCUGAACAUGAGCGCGUUGGAGCUGAGGGACUCCGCGCUGUAUCUGUGUGCCAGCAGCUUGCACA